GGCCUGUUAGCUCACCUGGUCAGAGCAUGGUGCUAAUAACACCAAGGUCAUGGGUUCAAACCCCACACAGGCCA
rnacentral:tRNA from 1 species